CGCUGGAAUAGAACCAGAUUCUAUUCCAGUGUCAACGUAACGUCAGGACUAGCGUAAUAUUGUAAAUCCGCCUUUAUGCUAGCUACGCCCUUGUCAUGUGUAAAACCUCCCAGAGCUUUAAUUUGUAUGGUACAUGUAUUUGAGGAUUUUGAUCCUGCUUGUACAGCGUAUCAUGAAACCCCACACAUUGUUUGGUGAAAAACCUCAAGUUUGGUACCCUUACGUGUUGUGUUGAACUACAUUGAGGUUGGUUGAUUAGUAUUUAAAGCCAGUGGCGGAGCUGGAACUCAACUGAUGCCCAGGCCCGGAUGUGGGUGUGUCCAGUUUCUAACUUUUUCCAUAGAUGCUUUUUAAUACAUCCUUCUCUUGAAUACAUGUAUAAUGCUUUUUCUUUGGGUAUUUUACUUGAAAAUUGCUUGCUAAUUGCUUAUAUCCACCUGUAUGCACUUAUUAGUACUCUGGUGAGGCUUGUGGUUGGCUCUAUCUAAACUUUGGGCAAGGCAUCUAAUGAAUCUCAUUACAGAGAUUUGAUGCCCGGGUUCAGCUCCGCCACUGGGUGGGCCCGGGUUCAGCUCCGCCGCUUUAGCCACUGUUUAAAGCGACUGUUCAGAGUCCAAACUUUAGAUUAGCUAUUAUCAGUAGUGGCAGAUUUGGAUAGAUUGCACUUGGCACACAGACCAAAACAUGUCUUUGAUAGCGUUUUGUGCUACAUGGAUAUUAUUAUUGGCUAUUGUAGUUUUCUAUAUUGCAGCACCAGUAAAUGAACCUGAAGAGGCAAUUUCAAUUAAAUGUAACAACACUAGAAAUGAGUCAAAUAUCUUUAAGCAGGAGCCAUCACCUCUAAAUUACAUGAAUCUGGAAAAGAGGAUGAAUGCCGAGGUUAGCAGAUUAAAUUAAUAAUGCAACAUUAUGAUGAAAUGAUGAAGAAUGUAUAUCGAAUCACAGUCAACUUGGGGAGGUCGUUUAUAAAAUGGCUGUCCCUCCCAAUAGAACAAGCGACAAACAUUGACACAUUUGUCGUAAAUAAUACACAGAACAUGAUUAUAACUACCGUAUUAUGAUCUGUCUUUUGAAGCGUAGGAUUGCGAGCUUCAUUAAAAGUCAUUAAUAGUUUUAGACUCUCA